CACCAAGUGUGCAAGCGUUUACUGAGUUUGUUCCUGAGCUGCCUGUGCCGGCCCGGUUUACCUGACUCUAACUCGAGUUUUUACGUUCCCCUUUUUGGGGAUUUGUUUGCCUGUUGGACUGAUCUCCCGAUUUUGACUCUGAACACACGAGUGAAGAACUUCACUUGCGUUUCUGUUUCCAGAUUGCUAAUUUGACUCAAAGUAGCUCCACAUGUUGCUCUCCUCCCUGGAAAAAAUGACAGUGAUUGAUCUCCUGUAAUUUUUCCCUCCAGGUGAACGAAAUCAACCAAGUGCAGUUUCAUUUGGGAAAUUAAUUUUCUGGCUGCCUCUUGACGUGACAUGGUGGUGUGACACCGAGUGAUGGUCUUUGUUGCUGUAGCAUACAGUAAGAGGUAACUUCAAGUGGGCUAUCCGGACUCCGUGAAUGGCCUGCUGGCAUUUACAUAGUAUUUAGAGAGUCCCAAAAAAAAGGAUCACCCUACACUUGUUGAACAUGCUCUUAUCUUUGAAAAUAACACCAUGUACAAAUUCAUCUCUGACCUUUUUCAGAAACGUAAUUUCAUCGCUAUCUGUGUGGCCAAAAGGGGCAGGGCUAGAGAUAAGACAAUAGCCCUCUCUGAUUGUUACAGCAAUUCCAUUAGUCUAAAGUAGGCUAAUCCUGGCUUUAAUGCAGUUUUCUCAUACAUAAUGCAUUAUGUAAAUUGCUAUGAUAUAAAUAUCUUAAUCAUGUAUGUUCUAAAUGAUGAGUCGCUGCAGGCUGCUUCACAGCAGCUACCGCCUGAUUGUGCGAUAUCCCUUCCUCUGCACCUAUUCUGAUGUUUCAACAGUCUACGUGACCUGAAUAGACGAGGAUUACUUGUUAC
ensembl:lncRNA